GGAGGGUGCAAGCGUUAUCCGGAUUCACUGGGUUUAAAGGGUGCGUAGGUGGGUUGGUAAGUCAGUGGUGAAAUCUCCAGGCUUAACUUGGAAACCGCCAUUGAUACUAUCACUCUUGAAUACCGUGGAGGUCAGCGGAAUAUGUCAUGUAGCGGUGAAAUGCUUAGAUAUGACAUAGAACACCAAUUGCGAAGGCAGCUGGCUACACGAAUAUUGACACUGAUGCACGAAAGCGUGGGGAUCAAACAGGAUUAGAUACCCUGGUAGUCCACGCCCUAAACGAUGGAUACUCGACAUACGCGAUAUACUGUGUGUGUCUGAGCGAAAGCAUUAAGUAUCCCACCUGGGAAGUACGAUCGCAAG
rnacentral:rRNA from 1 species